rnacentral:lncRNA from 1 species
AUGCUUUGUAAGACUGCAACAAAUCCUCACGGUUGUCUUAGGAUACUUUUUCACACGAUCAUGCAGGGAAGUCAGAGACAGCUGCUGUAUUUGGAAGACGUGGCAGACAACUUGCAUGGACCCAUCAAGGAAUUUUAUGCAUCCAGCCUCGUGUGUGCUACGCAGAAGCAUCUGACACCGCAGACAACUUUGGGUCAACUUCCCAUGUUACGUGUAACUACCUAAAUAACAUCUCAAUUAAGAAAUAAUAAUUAUUAUAGAAACAUUCUUACAACAUUGUACAUUUAAUGCUGUGCGUCUUUUCCCUAGUUACAAUAAUAUGCUUUUCUAUUAACAAAUUAAUGUGAAUACAAAGACUAAAGCAAAAGGUCAUAAAUUUCUUUUACUCUGUUAUUAGUAGAUAUUCUGUUAGGCACAAUAUGACGUUCUUUGUAAACAUAAAGACAAAUCUCCACACAUUAGAGCGUGCCAAUGUGAACUUACAGAAACAAUUUACACAUGUUUCAGAAACAGAGCCCCACUACCCCAGGAAGGGUGCAGCAAUCCAGGAGGCAUCAAUUUGUGGCCAUCACAACUGAAAACCUCAUCUGCUGUCAGUGGGACAGAAGUGCAUCCUCAUCAGCAAACCCUCCUGCUUUGGAAUUAAUUCUUUGCUUUCUCUUCUACCAAAGAGUUCAUAUAAUUUAAAACACAGAUCUCAUUAUGACAUGUAUUUCAUUCUUUUUACCCUGAAACAACUUAUUAUUUAUUAUACAGUUAAUGUGAAGAACUAAAGCCCCUAAAAUAAGUAAUGUAACUAAUAUGUCUACAAAGCUUUCAUCAAAAUACAUAUCUAUGUAUUUUUAGGAACUUUAAAAUAAUCUUCCAAUAACAAGUCAUAGGAGAAUACCUCUUGAAAGAACUUUAUUUCCCAAACUUAAAAGUGCUCUAUACAGUGUGACUGUGCAACUCUAGAACUGCACUGAUGAAUAUGCAGAGCUUCUAGUAUCUUGCUUACAGCAAGUCUCACCCUUAAUAACCAUGUGUUUAUGGAAGGCACAAAUUAACAUGAGUUUAGUUACGUCUAAUAGAGAAUUCUUAUCUGAAAAGAUUUCUUGAGAACAAAUAGUGGACAUAAACUGUGUAAGUUCAAAGACAUUAUUCCGAAUCCCACGAUUAUUUCAAGAGACACUGCUUUCAUUCUGCACAGUCACUGAGAAUUUUUAUUCUGCUCAUGUUGUAACAG